rnacentral:rRNA from 1 species
AGAGUGAACGCUGGCGGUAGGCCUAACACAUGCAAGUCGAACGGCAGCACAGUAAGAGCUUGCUCUUAUGGGUGGCGAGUGGCGGACGGGUGAGGAAUACAUCGGAAUCUACCUUUUCGUGGGGGAUAACGUAGGGAAACUUACGCUAAUACCGCAUAAGACCUUCGGGUGAAAGCCGGGGACCUUCGGGCCUGGCGCGGAUAGAUGAGCCGAUGUCGGAUUAGCUUGUUGGCGGGGUAAAAGCCCACCAAGGCGACGAUCCGUAGCUGGUCUGAGAGGAUGAUCAGCCACACUGGAACUGAGACACGGUCCAGACUCCGUACGGGAGGCAGCAGGUGGGGGAAUAUUGG